GUUGUAGCUCAGUGGUAGAGUGCUUGCCUCGCACUCGUGAAGCCCUGGGUUCGAUCCUCAGCACCACA
rnacentral:tRNA from 1 species